AGGGUAAAAGCUUUAAGCAGCUAACUGUUAAUUAGCAGAUAACGACUAGACACUUUCGUUUACCCUC
rnacentral:tRNA from 1 species